AGCGAACGCUGGCGGCAGGCCUAACACAUGCAAGUCGAACGAACUCUUCGGAGUUAGUGGCGGACGGGUGAGUAACACGUGGGAACGUGCCUUUUGGUUCGGAAUAACUCAGGGAAACUUGUGCUAAUACCGAAUGUGCCCUUCGGGGGAAAGAUUUAUCGCCAUUAGAGCGGCCCGCGUCUGAUUAGCUAGUUGGUGAGGUAACGGCUCACCAAGGCGACGAUCAGUAGCUGGUCUGAGAGGAUGACCAGCCACACUCGGACUGAGACACGGCCCAGACUCCUACGGGAGGCAGCAGUGGGGAAUCUUGCGCAAUGGGCGAAAGCCUGACGCAGCCAUGCCGCGUGAAUGAUGAAGGUCUUAGGAUUGUAAAAUUCUUUCACCGGGGACGAUAAUGACGGUACCCGGAGAAGAAGCCCCGGCUAACUUCGUG
rnacentral:rRNA from 1 species